GGAAUAGGAGGAAUCUGUUACUAGGAAGGAAUAGGAGGAAUCUGUUACUAGGAAGGAAUAGGAGGAAUCUGUUACUAGGAAGGAAUAAGAGGAGUGUACUACUAGGAAGGAAUAGGAGGAAUCUGUUACUAAGAAGGUUUAAGAGGAGUGUACUACUAGGAAGGAAUAAGAGGAGUGUACUACUAGGAAGGAAUAGGAGGAAUCUGUUACUAAGAAGGUUUAAGAGGAGUGUACUACUAGGAAGGAAUAAGAGGAGUGUACUACUAGGAAGGAAUAGGAGGAAUCUGUUACUAAGAAGGUUUAAGAGGAGUGUACUACUAGGAAGGAAUAGGAGGAAUCUGUUACUAAGAAGGUUUAAGAGGAGUGUACUACUAGGAAGGAAUAGGAGGAAUCUGUUACUAAGAAGGUUUAAGAGGAGUGUACUACUAGGAAGGAAUAAGAGGAGUGUACUACUAGGAAGGAAUAGGAGGAAUCUGUUACUAAGAAGGUUUAAGAGGAGUGUACUACUAGGAAGGAAUAAGAGGAGUGUACUACU